AUUGAACGCUGGCGGCAGGCCUAACACAUGCAAGUCGAACGGUAACAGGAAACAGCUUGCUGUUUCGCUGACGAGUGGCGGACGGGUGAGUAAUGUCUGGGAAACUGCCUGAUGGAGGGGGAUAACUACUGGAAACGGUAGCUAAUACCGCAUAACGUCGCAAGACCAAAGAGGGGGACCCUCGGGCCUCUUGCCAUCGGAUGUGCCCAGAUGGGAUUAGCUUGUUGGUGGGGUAACGGCUCACCAAGGCGACGAUCCCUAGCUGGUCUGAGAGGAUGACCAGCCACACUGGAACUGAGACACGGUCCAGACUCCUACGGGAGGCAGCAGUGGGGAAUAUUGCACAAUGGGCGCAAGCCUGAUGCAGCCAUGCCGCGUGUAUGAAGAAGGCCUUCGGGUUGUAAAGUACUUUCAGCGGGGAGGAAGGGGGUAAAGUUAAUACCUUUGCUCAUUGACGUUACCCGCAGAAGAAGCACCGGCUAACUCCGUG
rnacentral:rRNA from 1 species